UACAGAGGUCUCAAGCGUUGUUCGGAUUCAUUGGGCGUAAAGGGUGCGUAGGCGGCGCGGUAAGUCGGGUGUGAAAUCUUGGAGCUUAACUCCGAAACUGCAUUCGAUACUGCCGUGCUUGAGGACUGGAGAGGAGACUGGAAUUUACGGUGUAGCGGUGAAAUGCGUAGAGAUCUGGAGGAACACCGGUGGCGAAGGCGGCCCCCUGGUUCGAUACUGACGCUGAGGUGCGAAAGCGUGGGGAGCAAACAGG
rnacentral:rRNA from 1 species